rnacentral:misc_RNA from 1 species
CCCGCCCAACUUUUUUCCAAAAGAAAGGGUAAAGUUGAAACAACAUGGUCUACAAAUAGCUGGGUUGAUGAAUGCAAAUAUGCCAUGCAUGUGUUCAUGCAGAAGGUAUCUAUGGACCAAAUCCUUCACCAACCAUAGAGACUUCUUUUCGGUUCAAUGAUCCUCGCCAAUAACACAAACAAAAAUCUUAAGAAUGAAAGGAGACCCUUAUUUAUCCCAUUACGGGAAAACUGGCCUGCUUAUAUUGAUAGUGCAAACUUUCUUCACUUCUGCUAUCCAAACAUAUCAUCAUUGACAACCUCUGAUCCGAACAAUAGCUGCAAUGAGUGGUUAUCUGCGAGAAGCAGCUUCUUCCUCCUGGGGAGUCUUGGCCACAAUGGAGAGAGCAUGCAAUCCAGAUUGAAGCUCAUCCACAAGUGCAUCAUAGACCAUGCGGUGGCGCUUAAGGAGGGUGUGACCAUUGAAUUUGGGCGAGACAAUCUUCAAAUUGAAAUGGGUCUCAACAUUAUUGGUUUUGACGGCAGCGUGGCCAGCGUGCUGAUGCGAAACGUCCUCGAUUUCUAUAGUGGUAGCUUCCAAAGCAGAUUGCAGCUUCGUUUUCAUUCUGUUUGCCCUAGAAAUCAACAUGUUGGCUCCUCGAGAACCCAUAUCUUCACUUCAAUUUCUAUUCUACCCUAUCCUUUCGAUUUCGAAGAUCUUAAACCCACAAAUCUAAC